UGUUCACUGCCGGUCAUAGACUCCCGAAGGGAAGAACAGCAAGCGUCCAAACGCAGUCGGACCUACUGGGUAAGAACGAUACCAUUGCCAAGGGCCAGUCUAGGAGUGGAGAACUGCAGAAACUCACGCAGGAGAGCAGAGCUGAGAAGCCCAGGAAGGGGCGAGAGCUCGCGUUCCUGCAGAGAACCGGACCUCGGAGAGGAGCUAAUUUAGGAAGACAACCAGAGAUGAAAUGUUAGAUUUAAAGGUUACCAGGAGCAACCCCUCGACCCCAUAGAUCAUUCCCCAGCUCUCAGCCCAGAGAGGAAAUACAGCUCGGACACUAUUCCUAAACUUUGACGGCUGGGGAGUUCAAAGAGGAUCAUUAAAGCUGUUAGAGGAAGUGACUGCAGAAGAGAAAGGCAGAAUUAAGAGGAACAAGUUGUUCUAAGAAGCUACUGCAUCCGUCUGAUCCAGGGAGCACUCUACCAAGAGCAAGACCAGAUUUCUUAGCAAUGACACCAAGCAACUGGCAUGUUACUACGGAGAAAACAAACAGACCACAGCAUAGAGUAUUAAGCAGAGACAAUGCAACUGCCACUGAAAGGGACUUACUUAGAAAACAGAGAGGCUCACUUUAAAAAAAAAACAAAACAGUUUCCUGUUGAGAAUUUACCUCAAGAUGAAGUAGUUGGAGAGGACAGCUGUGGUAUGUUA